CGCGGAGCCGCCCGGAGCGCCCCUACCUGUGCCGGGCUCACAUCCUCGGGCCGAGGCCAGCGCUGCCCCCCCGGCGCCGCUCCGGCUACGGCCCCCGCCCGAAGUUUGCCUGCCUUGCGCGGGGCUGAAGGACUGUUGACCCUACAGAAGUUUUCGAAUCAAAUUCUCCCUGCAGACUGACUUGAGUGAAUGACCUCCAAACUUGGCCUACUGGGAUGGAGAGAGAUCCUAACACCGAUAUAUGGAGGAGGUCACUGGGGAUUUGUGCUAAUAGGCCCAUCUGUAAACCGGCAAACUGGAAUUCAACGCAUGUCGUGUUUGGCCAUCCCAUCUGCAUGGUGACAGGUACUGAUGGCAAAUCAUCCUGGUCCUUUCACUAGUUCAGCUUCGGCAAAGUAGGUGUCAGGAGCCUGGUUAUGGAGCCGUGGGGCCGUUUAUCUGAAACUCUGACACUUGGCCUUUGCUGGAGGUCGAUGUGGGACUUAGCAAGCAUUGACCUGCAGGGGAAGAGUGUGUUUUGCAUACUGAGUCAUGGUAUUAAAUGUGCUUUUUACAAUUAUCUAUGGUGAAAUUCAUUGUAAGAGUGAAUCAGGUCACUGGUAUUUAAUCUGAACUAGAGUUAUGAAAUUUCAAAUGACUGUGCAGGAGACAGGUCGCUGUGAUGACAUAUGUAUCAUCCAGGGCUAUAUAGCUCUUCUAGGCAAAACAUUUCCUUGUAGUUUCGCCUUUUCUUUUAUUUCUUCUUGCUUAUGUAGAAAACCUAUAUUUGUAAUGGUUUGAAAAAUGUAAAGGCUUUUUAAAUUUAUAAAUAAAAUUACUAAUUUAUAAAGAAA